GAGGCCUUAGCUUAAUUAAAGUACCUGAUUUGCACUCAGGAGAUACAGGUUAAUAUCCUGUUGGUCUUA
rnacentral:tRNA from 1 species